AGCUCCAAUAGCGUAUAUUAAAGUUGCUGCAGUUAAAAAGCUCGUAGUUGGAUUUCUGGCCUGACGUGCCUGGCCCGCCAGCGUUAGCUGUGUGAGUGUUGGGACGCGUCUGCCAUCCUUCUAGAAAACGUUUCUACUCUUCAUUGAGCCGGAGACGCUAUCUAGAUCUUUUACUUUGAAAAAAUUAGAGUGUUUAAAGCAGGCUUUUGCUAUGAAUACAUUAGCAUGGAAUAAUAAUCUAGGACUUCGGUUCUAUUUUGUUGGUUUCUAGGACUGAAGUAAUGAUUGAUAGGGAUAGUUGGGGGUGCUAGUAUUCAGCGGCCAGAGGUGAAAUUCUCGGAUUCGCUGAAGACUAACUUAUGCGAAAGCAUUCACCAAGGAUGUCUUCU
rnacentral:rRNA from 1 species